rnacentral:rRNA from 1 species
AGUGGCGAACGGGUGAGUAAUAUAUCGGAACGUGCCCAAUCGUGGGGGAUAACGUAGAGAAAUUUACGCUAAUACCGCAUACGAUCUAAGGAUGAAAGCGGGGGAUCGCAAGACCUCGCGCGAUUGGAGCGGCUGAUAUCAGAUUAGGUUGUUGGUGAGGUAAAAGCUCACCAAGCCGACGAUCUGUAGCUGGUUUGAGAGAACGACCAGCCACACUGGGACUGAGACACGGCCCAGACUCCUACGGGAGGCAGCAGUGGGGAAUUUUGGACAAUGGGCGAAAGCCUGAUCCAGCAAUGCCGCGUGCAGGAAGAAGGCCUUCGGGUUGUAAACUGCUUUUGUACGGAACGAAACGGUCUGCCCUAAUACGGCGGGCUAAUGACGGUACCGUAAGAAUAAGCACCGGCUAACUACGUGCCAGCAGCCGCGGUAAUACGUAGGGUGCGAGCGUUAAUCGGAAUUACUGGGCGUAAAGCGUGCGCAGGCGGUUAUGUAAGACAGUUGUGAAAUCCCCGGGCUCAACCUGGGAAUUGCAUCUGU